rnacentral:rRNA from 1 species
UACAGAGGUCUCAAGCGUUGUUCGGAUUCAUUGGGCGUAAAGAGCGUGUAGGCGGCCAAGCAGGUCCGCUGUGAAAACUCGAGGCUCAACCUCGAGACGUCGGUGGAAACCGUUUGGCUAGAGUCCGGAAGAGGAGAGUGGAAUUCCCGGUGUAGCGGUGAAAUGCGCAGAUAUCGGGAAGAACACCCGUGGCGAAGGCGGCUCUCUGGGACGGUACUGACGCUGAGACGCGAAAGCGUGGGGAGCGAACGAGG